CAGCUCUCACUCAUCUAUCACGUACAGCCUGGACCAAAGGCUUGGAGAUUUGAUGUUUAAAUUAAAAAAAACCUCUUACGAUAGACUUUACUUCUCAAGAUUCCUUUCCUUCUGUCCUGGAUGGACAGUCCCAGUGUGUAAGAAGAGAAAAAACUGAGAUGAUGUUGGUUUUAAGAGGAAUGCACAGAGUUGAUGUUAGAGUCAAGG